AAAAAAGGGAAGAGAAAGGUCAGCGUUCAGUGGGUUGUGCCUACCUCUGCUGCCACGACCUGCUUCGGAUAUUUCUUCUUCUUUCCUCCCCUGAAUUAAGCUGCACUCUGCAAGCCCCUUAGAAGAUGCCCUGGGCCAUGAUCUGGACUGGCACAACAGCAGAAAUAUUUAACAAAAUUCAAGUCAGA